rnacentral:snRNA from 1 species
AUCGCUUCUUGGCCUUUUGGCUAAGAUCAAGUGAAAAGUAAGUGAGUUUAAAGGUAAUGUGUCUUUUUUUGUGAUUUAAAAAAAUAAAAACAAACAAAAAACCCAACAGCUUUUCUUGGGGUCUAUUUGAAGACUUA